UGGCGGACGGGUGAGUAACGCGUAAAGAACUUGCCCUUUAGACUGGGAUAACAGAGGGAAACUUCUGAUAAUACUGGAUAAGUUAGUAUAUCGCAUGAUAUGCAAAUGAAAGCUACGGCACUAAAGGAGAGCUUUGCGUCCUAUUAGCUAGUUGGUAAGGUAAGAGCUUACCAAGGCGAUGAUAGGUAGCCGGCCUGAGAGGGUGGACGGCCACAAGGGGACUGAGAUACGGCCCUU
rnacentral:rRNA from 1 species